ACAUGAUCUGAGUUUGCCAUUAAAUAAUGUUCGUAUCGAUUUUGAUCAUUCAUUUAUUUCAAGUUUAGAAAGAAAACUGUUGAAUUAAAUAAGUGUUUUGUCCGUUAUAUAUUUUACGCAUAUACAAUCAUGGAGGAUAUUGAAGAAUUAGCAAAAAGUAAAGAAUACAAAAAUUACAACAGUGUUAAUACUGCACUAAGUUUAAUCGGACAGUGUUUAGAACCAUAUACUAAGCAGAGACUGGAGUCUGUUCACAACCAGAUAACAAAGAAACUUGGCGGUCCCCAGCCGUGUAACAGACAGUGCAGUAGGAACGCUCACUAUAACAGGGGGAAGUCUUUGGUGCUAGAAUGUGACUGUGAGAUUUAUUCGGGUAGAGACAAAACUACAGUUUUUAAGCAGUUGCACGCUCGUUGUACGUUAACGACUUGCAACUGGGCUUUGAAAUGGUGUCCAACAUGUUCUGCAUGGAAAAAAGAACUCGAAUCUUUCCUAAAGAAUCCUAGAAAGAUUAACUGGUGGAAAAUGGAAAGUUGGAACUGGCCACUGAAUGCUGUAAAUAUCGCAGAAGUGUUUAUGCCUUUGACCUGGAAUGCGGGUAACAUUCAUCUUAAGGACCUGUCAACAGCUGUCAACAUCUGGAGUAACUGUACUGAGUUUCCUGGUUCUAUUGUGAAUGACAUUAAACCCAUAAGACAACUGCGAAAUGUUCACAAUCAUACUGAUACGCAACGAAUUACAGAUGGGGACAAGACAAACAUGUUUAUCACUAUUUUUAACACCCUGAAUGUUCCAGACGUUAAAGCUGAGAUAUAUAUGUAUAAUCAGUUAGUACAAACGCUACAAGAGCUCGAACAACAUGGAAUUACAACUAAAGAAGUGAAAGAAGCGACUGACAGAAUAGAAAAGAUGUUGUUGAUCCAAAGCAACAGGCUAGAAAGAAAAAUGAAAACAAUAGACGAUGAUGUCAAACAAAUCAAUGAGAAAUUAAACAUUUAUUCUCGAUAUUUCAUAUGUCUUCUCGUAGUAGUGAUGCCAUUUAUUUUAGCAGUUACUAUUAGUGCACUUAGAGGACAGGUCAACAACACCGGGACAGUGCAGCGGGACAGCUAUAAAUAUUCAAAUGAGGAUUGUCUUUCCGAGGAACCGCAUACAUCCUUCCAAGAACAAGCGAUACAUAUGUAUGGUUACAUUUCAAAACAUUCAACCCUGAUUGGACGUAAAUGGCUUUUUGAACGUCUCGACAAACAUUUGAAAGAAAACAGGUCAAAUCACGGCGUAAUGGUGAUUGCUGGGACGGGUUACGGAAAAUCAGCAUUGGCAGCGAAUAUCAUUUGUGCUUCCCCCACUGAUGCUAGUUACAGUAUCAGGAAAAAUCUAGCAGCUUACUACAUCUGCCGUUUUGAUUCACUAAUCACAAAGAAAACACAUAUAUUCAUUCGAAGAUUAGCAUCAAUGUUUUCUCUCCAUAUACCAGGAUUUGCAGAGGUACUGAGAACGACUGAGAAGUUGUGUUUAGAGUAUUACAACCCGAACCAGUGUGAGGGAGAUCCAGGUGGCUGUAUCAAACAUUGUUUGAUAUCCCCUUUGGAAAGACUAAAGGCUCAAGAUAAACAUUAUAUUGUGGUACUUGAUGCUUUGGAUGAGUGCGAGGAUAGCGAUAAAGAUGAUGAAAUCGCUCUCCUGCUGAGGUCUAACUUAUAUUCGCUUCCUGAAUGGAUAAAGUUUAUAGUGACAUGUAGAAACGUGUCGUCUUGUAGGCAGCUAAAUACACAGUUGUAUGCAAUGGAACUUAAUCAUAAUGACCCAGAAAAUCAAAACGAUUUGAACAAGUACUAUAUCUCACAAGGGGUUUCACAUAUGAAUACUGAUGCUUUAAACUUUCUGUUGGCAUCAUUUUCUAUCAGCAUGUCUGGAAUUCCGUCAUUAGACAUAUUUUAUGAACAACAGUUCCGAAGGUUAUAUAGGAACCAGUACCAGGAACCAAAAGCGAUAUUAGAAAUCAUGUGUGCAUCAUUCGAAGCUAUGACAGAGAAAGAAAUAUUUGAUGUUCUCUCUAAUACGGUCACAAUUGCACCUGAAAAUUAUGACCGCUCAUUACUGCACUUAUCUCACUUUAUACAGACACUGAACGGAAAUAUUCAUCUUUGGCAUAUAUCUUUAAGAAAUUGGCUUAUCAACACAAAUUCUUAUUUUAUAAUAAAUGUCUCGAAAGGUCACCACUAUAUUGCAAAGUACCUUUUGAAUCAGCUGCAAUCAAAUCCAGAAAAUGUUGAUAUAGUCCAGCUUGUAUCACAUGCAUCUCUUGCGAAACCAUUCAGUGAAGAAAGUCUCCAGCGCUUUGAUGAACUAAAUUUUAGUGAUCUGAUAAAACAAGGUUAUAUAAAAAUCAAUUACCCUGUCCACGGACUUGCAUGCCAGUGUAACAAUUUUGUUGCCAUGCAACAUCUCGUCAAACAUUUCCCUGACCUUGAAGUCUUAAAUGACAUGAAGGUUACACCAGUAUAUGUUGCUUCCUCACAAGGAAAUAUAGAAACACUCAAAGCCUUAGUUGGAGCAAACGCUAGCACAGACUUCAGAAUACCAUCGACCAUGGACUUGGUCACUUUGUAUACAGCGUAUUUAUAUCCACGAAGUUCUCCCACACCACCACCCCCGUUGGGAUAUGGCAUUCUUGAUAUAGCUGCACAGAAGGGACAUUUGCCGAUCGUAAAAUACAUCGUCGAAAAUUUGAAUUAUAAUUUUAAUAAAAAAAAUGGAUUGAAUCUGUUACCAAUUCACUUAUCCUGCAUGUAUGGCCAUACAUCAGUCAUCAAAUACAUGUACAAGAAACAAAUAGUGACAUUAGAUUCACGAUGUUUGUACUUCGCAUCCGAGAAAGGACACGUAGACUUAGUUUCUUAUUUAUUAGAGAUGGGAGUCGAUGAUAAGUGCAAAGAAUGUGAAUCAGUAUAUUUCUUAUCAAGAGGUAAAUAUCAGUUUCAAGGCCAAUUAAACGAAAACUAUGUCAUGCGUUAUAACUGGGAUCAGAUUACAUGUGAAACAGCUUUACAUGCAGCGGUUCGUCUGAAUCACAUUGAAAUAUCUACGCUAUUGAUAAAUAAUAGCUUUUCAAAGAAAUCUGUUUUGUGUUGCAAUCGUGCUGGACAAACACCGCUUGGUUCAGCUGUGCUAUACAAUCGUGAAAACAUUGCAAAGAUUUUCUUGGAAUAUAAGCUAGUAAAUACAACUAUAAAAUGUUCUCCAAGGCAUAUUUUAAAUGUUAACUAUUAUAAUUACAUGAAAAAACAAAAACUGACGGAUCCUUUUUCCUGUGACGGAUGUACCGUGAUGCAUGUUGUUGCGUUUUAUGAUCGAAUGUGGUUCGUAAAAUUAUUAGGCAAUGAUAAUGAUCCUAACAUAUGGAAUGCAAUGGAUGAUGCGGGAUGUUACCCAGCACAUACGGCUGCAUGUCUUGGAAGCACACAGGUAUUAAAUUAUUUACUUGGUCUGGAUAAAUCUGGCAUACAUGAACAAAAAUGUAAGAACGGUUCAACGCCUAUUGAAAUAGCAGUCUCAUGUAAAUCGGCUGAGACUUUUAUAAUUCUUCUUAAUUCUAGCAAAUACCAAAGAAAUCACUUGAUCAAGGGUAUGAAAAAAUCUGUAAUAUUUAAUGCCUUAAAUGAAUCAAUGGAAGGUCAAAUCACAGAAGAAGUUUUUUAUGUACAAUUAAGAAUUGAAAAGAUAAUAGAAGCAGUUUUAAGCCCUGAAUGGAAUCUCGGUCAUAAGAAUAAAUUUCAGCAAAAUAUCCUUCAUAUUGCCUUGUUAAACGGACAUUUUGUAGUUUUAAAGAAACUAUUUUCUACUUCUCCGGGGAAGUCAAAGCAGCUAAUGACAGAGAAAGACAGUAACUCCAAAAUGCCACUAGAUCUCGCUAUUACAAACUUAGGAGAUAACACCGAAAUUGAUAUUUAUAUCUCUAAUACUUCUCUCGGUGGAUUAAUGACAUCUAUGGAACUCACGAUUUUCAUCGCAUUAGACUUUGUAGAGAAAAAUAACUUAACCAGUCACAUGAAUCUGAAAAAGAUGAUACUGGCUCUGGCACGAAAGAACUACUUUUUGCUGGUAAUGGAAAUUUUACGAAUUCACAAAUGGCUUUAUAGUGACAACGAUUUUGUUUAUGACGCUCUGGUUGAAGAAUCAACUAACUUGUUUUCUUCAGUUAUACUGAUGCAGUUGUUUUCAUACAGACAAAACAAUACCAAAGGUUCAUUAGUGUGUAUAAAUAACUGUGACGCAACACUUAAAUAUUGUCAUCUGCACACUAUAGCGAGAAAAUAUUUGGAGGUAGCUGUUUUGCUUAAUUCGUUUGAAGAUACUGACAACAAUAGUAAAGUCGACGAAAUAUUAAUGACAGGGUUUAAGUUAAACGUUAAUUUCCCAGGUAUGCUGAGCACAUGCUUCGAUAAAGAAGGUUUUAAUGUUUUAGACAGGGCAAUACAAGGAAGUAGUCAUAGACUGACCAAAUAUCUUCUUGAUAUUGGUGUACGAAGUAGUAAACAAGUGGUAGAUUUAAUAAGAUUAGCAUUUACGCCUUUUAAAUCAUCAGUAAUGGCAUCUUCAGAGGCAGUGGUCUAUACUAAAUCGUCACAAAAUGUUGGAAAUCGAAUCGACGAAUUUUUUUACCAUCCAUUGGCAAAAUUCAAACGUAGUUUUGAAAUGACCGAAACAAACAAAAUAUGGGUUUUUACGUCUAACGAAACUAAAACUUCAGAAUUGUUGUUGCGUUACUCUACAAUUCUGUUUUGGCGCCGUCGACCGAACCUUUGAGAUUGCCCGGCCACACCGACGAAGAAACACCACUAUACGACACGACGAAGAAAGAUUGUCUUUCCGAGAAACCGCGUACAUCUUUCCAAGAACAAGCGAUACAUAUGUAUGGUUACAUUUCAAAACAUUCAACCCUGAUUGGACGUAAAUGGCUUUUUGAACGUCUCGACAAACAUUUGAAAGAAAGCAGAUCAAAUCACGGCGUAAUGGUGAUUGCUGGGACGGGUUACAGAAAAGCAGCAUUGGCAGCGAAUAUCAUUUGUGCUUCCUCCACUGAUGCUAGUUACAGUAUCAGGAAAAAUCUAGCAGCUUACUACAUCUGCCGUUUUGAUUCACUAAUCACAAAGAAAAAACAUAUAUUCAUUCGAAGAUUAGCAUCAAUGUUUUCUCUCCAUAUACCAGGAUUUGCAGAGGUACUGAGAACGACUGAGAAGUUGUGUUUAGAGUAUUACAACCCGAACCAGUGUGAGGGAGAUCUAGGUGGCUGUAUCGAACAUUGUUUGAUAUCCCCUUUGGAAGGACUAAAGGCUCAAGAUAAACAUUAUAUUGUGGUACUUGAUGCUUUGGAUGAGUUCGAGGAUAGCGAUAAAGAUGAUGACAUCGCUAUUCUGCUGAAGACUAACUUAUAUUCACUUCUUGAAUGGAUAAAGUUUAUAGUGAAUGUAGAAACGUGUCCGUGUUGUAUGCCAUGGAACUUAGUCAUAAUGACCAAGAAAAUCAAAACGAUUUGAAAAAGUACUAUAUCUCACAACGGGUUUCACAUAUGAAUACUGAUGCUUAUAAACUUUCUGUUGGCAUCAUUUUCUAUCAGUAUGUCUGGAAUUCAGUCAAUAGACAUAUUUUAUGAACAGCAGUUCCGAAGGUUAUACCCAGCCAGCAUGACUAUUUCGGCCCGAUAUAGGUAUAAUGUCGGCAAAAUGUGCCGAUGUAGGUCCGACGUCGGGCCGUUGUGAGUGAGUGAGUUAGGUUUUACGGCGAAUCGACACAAAAUGAUCAUAUAUCGCCGAGAUCGGACCGUUGAACUGUCGCAAAAUAUUGAAAUCGGUAGAUCGGCAUCAAUCAGUAUAACUAUUUCGUAAGUCGGACUGACAUCGGGCCGAUAUUGGAUUCUCUAAUAUAGCUAUAUUUUUCAAAAUAUUAUUGAUAAACGUGAGAAGGUAAUCUAAUUGUUUAUGUGUGCUAAUUUAUUGAGCAAAUAUGAUGCAUGCCAGAAAUAAUCAAACUAGGUUCCAAACAAAAUUUGUAGACGGUAUUUAUCAAAAGUUUAUAUGUAAUAAAGGGAGGUUAUAAUUAAGAUGCAUGUUUAUUUUAUGUAAAAUGCCGCCGUAAAAAUAUUCAUAUUUACAAAAAAAAAUGAAAAUAUAAAUAUGUUUGAAAUUGUAAUUGAACAAUUUUAAUAGUGUUAAGAAUAUACAGAAAACUUACGUAACUGUAUAAAACAUGUAGUAUAUAGUUGUGAAAAAUAUUAUAUCAAUAAAAUCAAAUAUCCAUCAUACACAUGAUGCGAUCCACAUCUGUUCUCAAGUAAAUUACUCUGAGAAUUUCUAAAGUGUAAAGUUUGAAGAAAACUUUGAUGAAGCACUGCGUGUCACACCACUUCGCGACAACGAUAUGAUCUGCGAAUGUCGGACCGAUGUCCUUAUUUUGAUAUCGGGCUGAUAUAGAAUGCUGGCUGGGUAUAGGAACCAGUACCACGAAUCAAAAGCGAUAUUAGAAAUCAUGUGUGCAUCAUUCGAAGCUAUGACAGCAAAGAGAAAUAUUUGAUGCUCUCUCUUAUACGGUAACAAUUGCACCUGAAAAUUAUGACCGCUCAUUACUGCACUUAUCUCACUUUAUACAGACACUGAACGGAAAUAUUCAUCUUUGGCAUAUUUCUUUAAGACAUUGGCUUAUCAACACAAAUUCAGAAUUUCAGAAUAAAUGUCUCGAAAGGUCACCACUGUAUUGCAAAGUACCUUUUAAAGCAACUGCAAUCAAAUCCAAAAACUGUUGAUAUAAUCCGGCUUGUAUCACAUGCAUCUCUUGCGAAACCAUUCAGUGAAGAAAGUCUCCAGCGCUUUGAUGAACUAAAUUUUAGUGAUCUGAUAAAACAAGGUUAUAUAAAAAUCAAUUACCCUGUCCACCGACUUGCACGGCAGUUUGACAAUUUUGUUGCCAUGCAACAUCUCGUCAAACAUUUCCCUAACCUUGAAGUCUUAGAUAGUUUAGAGAACAUGAAGGUUACACCAGUAUAUGUUGCUUCCUCACAAGGAAAUAUAGAAACACUCAAAGCCUUAGUACGAGCAAACGCUAGCACAGACUUCAGAAUACAAUCGAUCAUAAACAUAGAUUUGGCAACAUUGAAUAUAGUUCUACAAGGCUCUUCCGAACCACCCCAGCUGGGAUAUGGCAUUCUUGAUAUAGCUGCACAGAACGGACAUUUGCCGGUUGUGAAAUACAUCGUCGAAAAUUUGAAUUAUAAUUGUAGUAAAAAAAUGGAUUCAAUCUGUUACCAAUUCACUUAUCCUGCAUGUAUGGCCAUACAUCAGUCAUCAAAUACAUGUACAAGAAACAAAUAGUGACAUUAGAUUCACGAUGUUUGUACUUCGCAUCCGAGAAAGGACACGUAGACUUAGUUUCUUAUUUAAUAAAGAUGAGAGUCGAUGAUAAGUGCAAAGAAUGUGAAUCAAUAUUUGAUUUUAUACCAAGAGGUAAAUAUUGGUUUCAACGCCAAUUAAACAUUGACGAAUACGACCAAAAAUAUGUCAUGUAUUAUGACUGGGAUCAGAUUACAUGUGAAACAGCUUUACAUGCAGCGGUUCGUCUGAAUCAAAUUGAAAUAUCUACGCUAUUGAUAAAUAAUAGCUUUUCAAAGAAAUCUGUUUUGUGUUUCGAUCGUGCUGGACGAACACUGCUUGUUUCAGCUGUGCAAUACAAUCGUGAAAACAUUGCAAAGAUUUUCUUGGAAUAUAAGCUAGUAAAUACAACUAUAAAAUGUUCUCCAAGUCAUAUUUUAGAUGUUAACAAAUUAAAUUACAUAGAAAAAGGAGAACCGGGAUCUCUUUUUUGCUGUGACGGAUGUACCGUGAUGCAUGUUGUUGCGUUUUAUGAUCGAAUGUGGUUCGUAAAAUUUUUAGGCAAUGAUAAUGCUCCUAACAUAUGGAAUGCAAUGGAUAAUGUGGGAUGUUACCCAGCACAUACGGCUGCAUGUCUUGGAAGCACACAGGUAUAGUAUUAAAUCAUUUACUUGGUCUGGAUAAACCUGGCAUACAUGAACAAAAAUGUAGGAACGGUUCAACGCCUAUUGAAAUAGCAGCCUCAUGUAAAUCGUUUGAGACUUUUAUAAUGUCUUUUUAAUUCUAGCAAAUACCAAAGAAAUCACUUGAUCAAGGGUAUGAAAAAAUCUGUAAUAUUUAAUGCCUUAAAUGGAUCAAUGGAAGGUCAAAUCACAGAAGAAGUUUUUUAUGUACAAUUAAAAAUUGAAAAGAUAAUAGAAGCAGUUUUAAGCACUGAAUGGAAUCUAAGUCAUAAAAAUAAAUAUCAGCAAAAUAUCCUUCAUAUUGCCUUGUUAAAUGGACAUUUUGGAGUUUUAAAGAAACUAUUUUCUACUUUUCCGGGGACGUCAAAGCAGCUUAUGACAGAGAAAGACAGUAACUCCAAAAUGCCACUAGAUCUCACUAUUACAAACUUAGGCGAUAACACCGAUAUGAAAUUUGUAUCUCGAUUGCUAAUACUUCUCUCGGUGGAUUAAUGACAUCUAUGGAACUCACGAUUUUUAUCGCAUUAGGCUUUGUAGAGAAAAAUAACUUAAUCAGUCACAUGAAUCUGAAAAAGAUGAUACUGGCUCUGGCACGAAAGAACUACAUUUUUUUUACGAAUUCACAAAUGGUUUUAUAGUGACAACGAUUUUGUUUAUGACGCUCUGGUUGAAGAAUCAACUAACUUGUUUUCUUCAGUUAUACUAAUGCAGUUGUUUUCAUACAGACAAAACAAUACCAAAGAUUCAUUAGUGUGUAUAAAUAACUGUGACGCAACACUUAAAUAUUGUCAUCUGCACACUAUAGCGAGAAAAUAUUCGGAGGUAGCUGUUUUGCUUAAUUCGUUUGAAGAUACUGACAACAAUAGUAAAGUCGACGAAAUAUUAAUGACAGGGUUUAAAUUAAACGUUAAUUUCCCAGGUAUGCUGAGCACAUGCUUCGAUAAAAAUGCAACGUCAAAACGUUAUAAACGUACCUGUUUUCAACGCACUGUUGCAUCUUUGACUGCUUAUAACGAAAAA